AAUAUAAUACUUUAAAGUUGCAAACUUUAGAAAUCUAAAAAGAGUUAUAUUA
rnacentral:tRNA from 1 species